AACGCUGGCGGCGUGCGUAACACAUGCAAGUCGAACGAGAAUGUACUGACAGAUCCUUAGGGUGAAGAUAGUACAGGACAGUGGCGGAUGGGUGAGUAACGCGUAAGAAACCUGCCUUUCACACCGGGAUAGCAGCUGGAAACGGCUAUUAAUACCGGAUGACACUUUUUCCCCGCAUGAGGAAGAGGUUAAAGAAUUUUGGUGAAAGAUGGUCUUGCGCCUGAUUAGCUAGUUGGUGGGGUAACGGCCUACCAAGGCGACGAUCAGUAGCCGGCCUGAGAGGGUGUACGGCCACAUUGGGACUGAGACACGGCCCAAACUCCUACGGGAGGCAGCAGUGGGGAAUUUUGCACAAUGGAGGAAACUCUGAUGCAGCGACGCCGCGUGAACGAAGAAGGUCUUCGGAUUGUAAAGUUCUGUCCUGGGUGAAGAUAAUGACGGUAACUCAGGAGGAAGCCCCGGCUAACUACGUGCCAGCCGCCGCGGUAA
rnacentral:rRNA from 2 species